GACACACGUUCCGCUGCCUUCUUAGGGGACAGAGGUUUCGAAAAAGAGGAGUGUUCUGUGAUUGGUGACCUUGUCUGGCAGAAGAAAAGGAAGGCUUCAUUCUGCAGGAGACCUUCCACGUUGCCCAAGAAUGCUUGGUGUGUACAUCCCACUCUGGCCCUCCCCCACAACUACAGCUCCUGGCGGCUCCUUUGUAUGAGUGGCCUAACCCCGGGCACACUUUUGCAUAAAGGGAAGAGAACCCGGAAGAAGAAGGCGAUAGCAAGAAAGAACAGGAGUCAGCGAAGGGCAAGUCCACCCUACCUUGUGGCCGUCAAGUGGUGGAGGAUCUGGGUCAGCAGACCUGGCCACAGGUGGUGGCCUGAAGUCUAUGUAAGAUUUUGGUGACUCGGGUUGGGUUAUUAGCCGGGUCCUUGAGGGAAAGGCCUUCUGCAGGCUGUGCGCAUAACCUCUCACUUAAAACA